AUUUAAAUAGUAUAACUAUUAUAAUUGACUUCCAAUCAAUAGAUCUAUAUUCUAGUUUAAAUA
rnacentral:tRNA from 1 species